AGGGUAUAUUCAGCAAUGCUACACCCUGUAAAUGCGGACCAUUGGCCAAGUCUAAGGCAACGCCAUCGCACUAUUGAUUGGAGAUAAAUAGGAGGCAGCGAAAGUCUCGGAUGUUGCAUAUUCGAAAUACCAAAGUUUGUUCUUCAUGCGGCUAUUGAAUUUAUGCGGAUUUUUCUCGCGCUCCAAAUGGAAUUUCACACAAAUUGCGGCGUCCUGCAAUAGAGGGCGAGAAGUCAGCAUAGAAAGCAAAUCAGAAAUUGCAUUCGCACCUCUAGUGCAGGUGAUAUGCACAAAUAAAUGCAGAGAUACAAACAUGUGGGACGUGCUUCAAAACUUAUUGCCAGCUGCAGUGGCCUGCCAGUUCGAUUGCCUCGCCUCCUGAUAGUCAUGGGCAUGCAUAACGCAUACGCAGCGUAGGCCACAGCUCGAUUAUGUGAAACACAUUCAGGCAGUGCACGCAAUGCAUGCAGUGCAUGUAAGCGAGCUGGCAGAAUUUUAAUUUUUGCAUAUUCGGCUAGCGACGCAGCACUUGACACAGCAGCAGUCGGUGUGCUGGCCAAAUAUGCAAAAAUUGAGGCUGAACGGCAGACGGAGUGGGAACAGGACGAGGAGUAGCAACAGGUAGUGGGGAGGACGAGCAGCAAGAGUUGAAGAAGGAGAGUGCAGAUGCUGGAGCAAAAGAACGAGCGAUAGGAGCGAAUGUGACAGCAAAACCCAGGAGGAGGCUAAAGCCGCAGCCGGAGCAAGUGCUUGUGGCCCAGGGCUUUGAUUGCGCAUACGACACGUUGCACAUUUUGUAGGCGCAUUUAUUAUGCACGUCACAGCGCCCACACAACACACAGCACGAGCACUCACAAGCAACCCCCACAUACACAUACACACACACCCACCUACGCCUGCCUUGCUGGAAUAAGGGAAGCCGCUUUGGCAUUUACGUUUUGUGGCUGUUGCUCUCACAAAGCAAAAUAAGAUUAAUUACACGGAUCCAAAGCCAAAAAUUGAAUUAUCAGGCUAAAGAGUGGGCGAGUGUGUGGAAGCGACUGUGUGUGUCUGUGU